AAUACACCCCUUCACCGGGAGAAGGAACCUACAAUAAAAAGGCAUUGAGAUCAUAUAUCUACAAUAUAAGAAAAUGAAUUGGUCUGGAAAAGACUAAUUUGCCCUGCUGGUUCCACAAGCUUCCACGUGGCGUUCUAUUUUUCCAACACAUUUUUCCAUUGCUUUUUGACACUGAACAUAACAAUCAUAUUUAUUGCUUUUACUUUUUCCAAACUUUUACUUUUCUUUCUCUCUUUCUUUUUCACUCACUGCUUCCUUCUUCCUCCUUCCACUUCUUCCUCCUUCUUCCUCUUUCUUCCUGUUUUCUUUUUUUUUAAAAUCAAAUAGAAACAAGCGAUAAUCUCCUACAUCAGAUCUAUUUUUUUUGUAUUCUUUUGUGCAGCAACAACAUCUAUAAAUGACUCUGAGAUUUUGGUUCUUUACACCAAAGCGGUUGUUGUUGAAGGCCCCCCCCAACCACUGGAAGGUUCUUUAGGUUUGAUCUAUGGUUUCUAACUUCUUUAAGUAAUUUACAUUACUUUUAGUUUUUGUAUUACAAUUAUAACUAAGGUGUUGUUUCAUGUACACCAGUAAGUAAAACUCACAAUUUUUUGAAUAAUUUUUUUAAGAGGUUUUUUAUUAUUGGGUUAUGUGAAAAUAUAGGCUUGGGAAGGACAAAUUUAUGCCUUCUGAAUGAGAAGGACAGGCUCAUUGAUCAGUCACAUCGUUGAUAUUUUGAGAGUUUUCCAAUGCCUACAACAGUAAAUUAGGGGUUAUUUUUUACAUCUGAACCAAAUUUUUAACAACUUUUGAACAUAGCUGUAAUAGGUACUACAAGUAGUCAAAAUCAACAAAGUUAACUAUCUUAGGAGGGAUGACUUUUGGUUACUUUCAAUGAAUUGAGUUAUUUCUUGUGAUGUUCUAUUUCCAAAAUAAAGUGAAAAUAUAUAAAUACAUUUAUUUGAUCA